UACAAAUAAGUCAAUUUGACCAAAAUUGUCAAUUGACCCCUUAAGGAGUUAUUGCCCUUUAAAGACUUUUUUCACAAUUUGUUCAUCAUGUUGACUUACUUUAAAAAAUCUUCUCCUUUAGAACAACGCUGUAUCAAUUUCAGCCAAACUUAGGCUAAAUGAGUUUCAGAGUAUCUAGUAUAAUUUUUAUAUUUUAUUUCCUUGUAUGUCAAGAAACAUAGCUUCUAUGGCUAAAAUAGAACAUAGGAGAAAAUGAUUUUUUUUUUGCUUUUGAAGAAAAUAGGACGAUUCAAAGAACAUUUAAAUAAAUUGAAAAGCCAAAAUAAUCACUGAUGAGAGAUUUAACCAAAAAAAUUAAGGUGAGCGAUUCAGGCUCUUGAGAGCCUCUUGUUUCUUGUUCUUAUUCUCAUCUGGUCUGUUAAAACCAUGCUACAUUGUAUCUCUUAUAACCAAUUUGUACCAUCCAUUAAUCUGCUAUUAGUUGUUUGAAUUUAUGUCUCUUUGUUGUCCUGAAGAGAAUUAUUGACUUAUGAGCCAGUCUCAUACGCUGUAGCUUUCACAUGGUAAUUUGAAAAUAAAAUUUUGA
rnacentral:lncRNA from 1 species